rnacentral:lncRNA from 10 species
CAAAGGGGCCUCUGUGUGCUGCGGGGACAGGGACGCCGCGGGGGCCGGACAAUGGUGUCGGGGAGCCUGGAGAGGCACAUGGCAGAAUUGCAUUUCCUAGCUCCCUGAGAUUAGGUGACUGUGUGGCUUGGUCUCGACAAUGGGAAUGUGAACAGAGAUGGUGUCACUUCUGUGAGAGAAUAUCAGGAGCGAGAGUGAUUUGCUGCAGUAUUUUGACUUCUGUGCUGUCAAUCAAUAACAUCUCAGAUGGAAGUUUCUCCGACACUGGGGUGCUAGAAGGAAAACGACGUGGAGCAGAGAACCAGCCAGUUUGUGAUAAACAUUUACAAUAAGCAGUCUAAUAAACAAACAACAUUUUUAAGUGCUUUUUUCUUUUUCUUUUCUUUUCUUUUUUUUUUUGGGAGGCAGAGUUUCACCCUUGUCGCCCAGGCUGGAGGGCAGAGGCAUGAUCUCGGCUCACUGCAACCUCCACCUCCCGGAUUCAGGCGAUUCUCCUGCCUCGGUCUCCUGAGUAGCUGGGAUUAUAGGCACCUGUCUCCAUGCCUGGCUAAUUUUUUGUAUUUUUACCAGAGACAGGGUUUUGUCGUGAUGGCCAGGCUGGUCUCAAACUCCUAACCUCAGGUGAUCCACCAGCCUUGGCCUCCCAGCAUGUUGGGAUUACAGGCGUGAGCCACUGUGCCCAGCAGCUUUUUUCGUUUAGAUGCCAGGAUUCAGGUAGUUAUUUGUUACCACGGUAUAACCUAGCCCAUCCUAACAAAUAUGGGAGUGGAUCAUUUGUCCUCUUGCCUGGCCCCUGUCACUUCUUCUCUGGGACUAAGAAGGAUUAGGAAAGAGACAUAAAAGUUCAUAUGUACCCCGUAGGGACUGCUCAGAGAUGGGAGCAGAAAGAGGAGAUCUUAGAACCAGACGUGAUGACUGUCAGAGUGAAGUCCCAUGCCCUCACCCCAACCCUUUCCUUCCAUUUAUAUCUUCAUUUUUUUCACACAACAAACACUAAAUAAAAGCCACACACUCUAGACCUGAGUGUUGUAUUCG